AUUGAACGCUGGCGGCAGGCCUAACACAUGCAAGUCGAGCGAUGAAGGGAGCUUGCUCCUGGAUUCAGCGGCGGACGGGUGAGUAAUGCCUAGGAAUCUGCCUGGUAGUGGGGGAUAACGUCCGGAAACGGGCGCUAAUACCGCGUACGUCCUGAGGGAGAAAGUGGGGGAUCUUCGGACCUCACGCUAUCAGAUGAGCCUAGGUCGGAUUAGCUAGUUGGUGGGGUAAAGGCCUACCAAGGCGACGAUCCGUAACUGGUCUGAGAGGAUGAUCAGUCACACUGGAACUGAGACACGGUCCAGACUCCUACGGGAGGCAGCAGUGGGGAAUAUUGGACAAUGGGCGAAAGCCUGAUCCAGCCAUGCCGCGUGUGUGAAGAAGGUCUUCGGAUUGUAAAGCACUUUAAGUUGGGAGGAAGGGCAGUAAGUUAAUACCUUGCUGUUUUGACGUUACCAACAGAAUAAGCACCGGCUAACUUCGUG
rnacentral:rRNA from 1 species